UUUGUUUGUCUGUUAAUUUGGUAGUUUGUCUGUCUGUUAAUUUGGUAGUUUGUCUGUCUGUUAAUUUGGUAGUUUGUCUGUCUGUUAGUUUGGUUGUUUGUUUGUCUGUUAAUUUGGUAGUCUGUCUGUCUGUUAAUUUGGUAGUUUAUUAGUUUGUUAGUCUGUUAGUCUGUUACUUUGUUAGUUUGUUAGUAUGUUAUGUUGUGUUAGUUUAUUUGUUUGUUAGUUUGCUAUAGUCUGUAAGUUUAUUAGUCUGUAAGCUAGUUUGUUAGUCUAUUAGUUUG